UAGCUUGGAUGAAGAGGGUGGUUGUUCCGCACUUCCUGGACGUCAGGCCAGACGCCAGACUUAAGUGAGGCUAGGACAUCACACAUCCUUUCUCAGAGACACGGCCGGUCAUCUUUCCACUGCCCCUAUUGCGUCACCGAAGUCCUUCUGGAUCUCCAGGAAAGGAACUGUGGGCCUGGGGCCCAAUGGCAAGGAAGGAGCUUCCGAGGAAGGGCUUCCUGUCUCAGAGGUGGCUAGAGAGUCAUCAGGACUUCCUGGCCUCUACAAAUAAACCUUUCCGUUGCAGUUGUUCAGGCCACACUUCCAGGCCAGACAGAGCAAGUUGGUGGGCAGUACCAGAUGACAAUUCAGCCCUCGGAGGAAAUGCCCACCCCCACCCCCACC